rnacentral:rRNA from 1 species
GACGAACGCUGGCGGCGUGCUUAACACAUGCAGGUCGAACGGAAAGGCCCUGCUUUUGUGGGGUGCUCGAGUGGCGAACGGGUGAGUAACACGUGAGUAACCUGCCCUUGACUUUGGGAUAACUUCAGGAAACUGGGGCUAAUACCGGAUAGGAGCUCCUGCUGCAUGGUGGGGGUUGGAAAGUUUCGGCGGUUGGGGAUGGACUCGCGGCUUAUCAGCUUGUUGGUGGGGUAGUGGCUUACCAAGGCUUUGACGGGUAGCCGGCCUGAGAGGGUGACCGGCCACAUUGGGCCUGCGAUACGGCCCAGACUCCUACGGGAGGCAGCAGUGGGGAAUAUUGCACAAUGGGCGGAAGCCUGAUGCAGCAACGCCGCGUGCGGGAUGACGGCCUUCGGGUUGUAAACCGUUUUCGCCUGUGACGAAGCGUGAGUGACGGUAAUGGGUAAAGAAGCACCGGCUAACUACGUG